UACAGAGGGGGCAAGCGUUGUUCGGAAUUACUGGGCGUAAAGGGCGCGUAGGCGGCCUUCUAAGUCGAACGUGAAAUCCCCGGGCUCAACCCGGGAACUGCGUCCGAUACUGGAAGGCUUGAAUCCGGGAGAGGGAUGCGGAAUUCCAGGUGUAGCGGUGAGAUGCGUAGAUAUCUGGAGGAACACCGGUGGCGAAGGCGGCAUCCUGGACCGGCAUUGACGCUGAGGAGCGAAAGCUAGGGGAGCAAACGGG
rnacentral:rRNA from 1 species